GUCGAACGGCAGCGGACCUUCGGGUGCCGGCGAGUGGCGAACGGGCGUUUAAUAUAUCGGAACGUGCCUUUCAGUGGGGGAUAACGUAUUGAAAGUUACGCUAAUACCGCAUAUUCUCUGAGGAGGAAAGCAGGGGACCUUCGGGCCUUGCGCUGAUAGAGCGGCCGAUAUCAGAUUAGCUAGUUGGUGGGGUAAAGGCCUACCGGGGCGACGAUCUGUAGCGGGUCUGAGAGGAUGAUCCGCCACACUGGGACUGAGACACGGCCCAGACUCCUACGGGAGGCAGCAGUGGGGAAUUUUGGACAAUGGGCGAAAGCCUGAUCCAGCCAUGCCGCGUGAGUGAAGAAGGCCUUCGGGUUGUAAAGCUCUUUCGGCCGGGAAGAAAUCGCACAGGCUAAUACCUUGUGUGGAUGACGGUACCGGAAUAAGAAGCACCGGCUAACUACGUGCCAGCAGCCGCGGUAAUACGUAGGGUGCGAGCGUUAAUCGGAAUUACUGGGCGUAAAGCGUGCGCAGGCGGUUUGGUAAGACAGGCGUGAAAUCCCCGGGCUCAACCUGGGAACUGCGCUUGUGACUGCCUCACUAGAGUACGGCAGAGGGGGGUGGAAUUCCACGUGUAGCAGUGAAAUGCGUAGAGAUGUGGAGGAACACCGAUGGCGAAGGCAGCCCCCUGGGGCCGAUACUGACGCUCAUG
rnacentral:rRNA from 1 species